UACGUAGGGUGCGAGCGUUGUCCGGAAUUAUUGGGCGUAAAGAGCUUGUAGGCGGUUUGUCGCGUCUGCCGUGAAAGCCCAGGGCUUAACCCUGGGUCUGCGGUGGGUACGGGCAGACUAGAGUGUGGUAGGGGAGACUGGAAUUCCUGGUGUAGCGGUGAAAUGCGCAGAUAUCAGGAGGAACACCGAUGGCGAAGGCAGGUCUCUGGGCCACUACUGACGCUCAUGCACGAAAGCGUGGGGAGCAAACAGG
rnacentral:rRNA from 1 species